AUCCUUUUGUAGUUCAUGAACAUGAUGAUUGGGUGUUCAUGCGCUUGUGUGAGAUGUGCCACCCUUGAAACUUACGUCGGCAUAUUACGUCGCCAUCUGACC